rnacentral:rRNA from 1 species
CGGGUGAGUAAUGCGUGACCAACCUGCCCCAUGCUCCAGAAUAGCUCUUGGAAACGGGUGGUAAUGCUGGAUGCUCCAACUUGACGCAUGUCUUGUUGGGAAAGUGUUUAGUGGCAUGGGAUGGUGUCGCGUCCUAUCAGCUUGUAGGCGGGGUAAUGGCCCACCUAGGCUUCGACGGGUAGCCGGCCUGAGAGGGCGGACGGCCACAUUGGGACUGAGAUACGGCCCAGACUCCUACGGGAGGCAGCAGGU